UACAGAGGUCUCAAGCGUUGUUCGGAUUCAUUGGGCGUAAAGGGUGCGUAGGUGGUGAUGCAAGUCUGGUGUGGAAAUCUCGGAGCUCAACUCCGAAAUUGCACCGGAUACUGCGUGACUCGAGGACUGUAGAGGAGAUCGGAAUUCACGGUGUAGCAGUGAAAUGCGUAGAUAUCGUGAGGAAGACCAGUUGCGAAGGCGGAUCUCUGGGCGUUCCUGACA
rnacentral:rRNA from 1 species